CCCGGCUGCUAUGCUGUCUCCACUGCCAGAACCAGUGGGCUGAUCACACAGUGCUUUGACAUUCAAAUCAUUCUCCUUAAAGCACCUACCAAGUAAUCAGCCUCAAGAAAUGAAGAGAAAACUGACAGUGGUAUAACGGGCAGAAAUGGCUUUGCAGCUUGUCCAGCAUCAUUUUCAAUGACUUCAUAAACUUCUGUAUCCAUUGUAUUGAGCUAACAAUAUGGAAAUGCCCAGUGGUGAAUCACUGGCCAUGGGGCACCAGAGUCCACGAGAAGGCAGAACUGCAGGAAGACAGAAUGGCUGCCAGAAGUACAAUCACUGCAAAGAAAACAAAUGAACCAACAAACGAGAAAGGAAAAGAGCAACAAGAUCAUUAAUUAGGUCAAUAAUCUCCAUACAACCACCCUGGGAGAAGCACGUGAAUGCUUGAGAUCAAUGAUGUGUGUUAAAUAAUAACUCUGAGCCAUCAAGAAAAUCUGUAUUUUCUUAAACUCUGUUUUAAAAGCCAGAGAAGCGCGUCAUCUAUCCCACAAU